AUGUUAACCAGAUUUGAUUAUCUCAUUAAUUCUUAUAACGAUGAACUUUCAUGCCAUAUCAAAACCAGAAGUCCAACAUGCAUACCUACAAUAGGUCAAAGCCUCAAAUUCCACUCGAAAAGUAAAAAAGAACAGAAUAUCUCGAAUUGUUGUCAUGCUUCAUUUAGCUUUGUUGCUUUCCUGUUAUAUGUUAUAUGUACGUAUGUUUUUCACGAAUUUGUACAACAAAGGUUGCUCAAACCCCAAAGGACUUUGGGAAUGAAUGCAAGCAGUUUCUUCUGUUUUUCUUGCUGGGAAUAG
rnacentral:rRNA from 1 species